GCCCUGACUGCAUGGUAGGGCACACUCUCGCACAAUGCGAGGGCCGGGAACCGGUCAUUCCAGGCAAUUACGUUUGAAGGCACCCGACCACGCCUU
rnacentral:ncRNA from 1 species